AGGAUGAACGCUGGCGGCGUGCCUUAUACAUGCAAGUCGAACGGUAAGGCCCCUUCGGGGGUACACGAGUGGCGGACGGCUGAGUAACACGUAGGAACGUACCCCAAACUGAGGGAUAAGCACCAGAAAUGGUGUCUAAUACCGCAUGUGCACCACGGUGUAAAGCUUUACGCGGUUUGGGAACGGCCUGCGCAUGAUUAGCUUGUUGGUGAGGUAAUAGCUCACCAAGGCUACGAUCAUUAGCUGGUCUGAGAGGAUGAUCAGCCAGACUGGGACUGAGAACGGCCCAGACUCCUACGGGAGGCAGCAGUAGGGAAUUUUCCACAAUGGGCGAAAGCCUGAUGGAGCAACGCCGCGUGCAGGAUGAAGGCCUUAGGGUCGUAAACUGCUUUUAUAUGUGACGAUUAUGACGGUAGCAUAUGAAUAAGGAUCGGCUAACUCCGUGUCAGCAGCCGCGGUAA
rnacentral:rRNA from 1 species